CAUGUCCUUUAGAUUAUAAUUUAAGGUCUAAUCUGCUCAAUGAAUUUUAAAUUGCCGCAGUAUUUUGACUGUGCGAAGGUAGCAUAAUAAUUAGUUUCUUAAUUAGGAACUGGUAUGAAUGAUUGGACAAGAAAGUUUCUGUCUCUUUAUCAAUUAUUUUUGAACUUUAUUUUUAAGUGAAAAAGCUUAAAUUUUUUUAAAAGACGAGAAGACCCUAUAGAGUUUAAUAUUUUACUUUAAUUAUUAUUUAGAAAAGGUUUUUAAUUUAAUUUAUUUGGUUGGGGUGAUUUAAGGAUAUAAUAAAUUUCUUAAUAAGAUAAUUAAUGAUUUUUAAAUUUUUAAUCUAUUUUUAAUAAAUAUAAAAUAAAUUACCUUAGGGAUAACAGCGUAAUUUUUCUUAAAAGCUCUUAUUUAAAGAAAAGUUUGCGACCUCGAUGUUGGAUUAAAAUUAAUUUUUGGUGCAGUAACUUAAAAAUUUGGUCUGUUCGACCUUUAAAAUUUUACAUGAUCUGAGUUUAAACCGGUGUAAACCAGGUUGGAUUCUAUCUUUAUAUUAUUUUUAUAUUUUAGUACGAAAGGACCAAAUAUAAGUUAAAUUAAUUG
rnacentral:rRNA from 1 species